UCCCCUGUAAAUAAUUCUAUUAUAGAGCAAUCCAAGCUCAACGGUUGUUUCGGACCGACUCCCUUUCCUCUCCCUCACCAUAAUUUCUCUCGACUAGGCUUCACCAUGAGUUCUUACGAUCACCACCAGGCUCCGCCUACAUCAUACCCACCGCCAGGACAGGCCUGUCCUCCGCCGGCGGAAGGCUACCCGGCGAGCUAUGCAGCGCCUCCUCCGGCGGGUUAUCCUGUGAAGGAUGGGGCAGCGUACCGCCCGCGAGUUCCAGUGGAGACCAAGAGCCGAGGCCUUGGCUUCUGGAAAGGCCUUGGCUCGUUCUUGAAAGGAUGCUGUUCCCCCUUGUGCGGCUGCUCUCUGAACGCGUGCUGCUGCGGCUGCUUCUCUGCGGAGGUGGGCUGCGGCUGCUGCUGAAACUGGACGGAAUUCUACAAACGCUUUCUGCUCUUUUUUUUUUUUUUUUUUAAGAUAGGAGGUCUUAUAUGUUUGAUGUAUGCAAUGAAUUUGCAACAAACAUUUCCAAAU